rnacentral:rRNA from 1 species
CAGCAGCCACGGUAAUACGAAGGGGGCUAGCGUUGUUCGGAAUUACUGGGCGUAAAGCGCACGUAGGCGGAUUGUUAAGUUAGGGGUGAAAUCCCAGGGCUCAACCCUGGAACUGCCUUUAAUACUGGCAAUCUCGAGUCCGAGAGAGGUGAGUGGAAUUCCGAGUGUAGAGGUGAAAUUCGUAGAUAUUCGGAGGAACACCAGUGGCGAAGGCGGCUCACUGGCUCGGUACUGACGCUGAGGUGCGAAAGCGUGGGGAGCAAACAGGAUUAGAUACCCGAGUAGUCCCUGUCUCUUAUAC